rnacentral:rRNA from 1 species
GACGAACGCUGGCGGCGUGCCUAAUACAUGCAAGUAGAACGCUGAAGAGAGGAGCUUGCUCUUCUUGGAUGAGUUGCGAACGGGUGAGUAACGCGUAGGUAACCUGCCUUGUAGCGGGGGAUAACUAUUGGAAACGAUAGCUAAUACCGCAUAACAAUGGAUGACACAUGUCAUUUAUUUGAAAGGGGCAAUUGCUCCACUACAAGAUGGACCUGCGUUGUAUUAGCUAGUAGGUGAGGUAACGGCUCACCUAGGCGACGAUACAUAGCCGACCUGAGAGGGUGAUCGGCCACACUGGGACUGAGACACGGCCCAGACUCCUACGGGAGGCAGCAGUAGGGAAUCUUCGGCAAUGGGGGCAACCCUGACCGAGCAACGCCGCGUGAGUGAAGAAGGUUUUCGGAUCGUAAAGCUCUGUUGUAAGUCAAGAACGAGUGUGAGAGUGGAAAGUUCACACUGUGACGGUAGCUUACCAGAAAGGGACGGCUAACUACGUGCCAGCAGCCGCGGUAAUACGUAGGUCCCGAGCGUUGUCCGGAUUUAUUGGGCGUAAAGCGAGCGCAGGCGGUUUGAUAAGUCUGAAGUUAAAGGCUGUGGCUCAACCAUAGUUCGCUUUGGAAACUGUCAAACUUGAGUGCAGAAGGGGAGAGUGGAAUUCCAUGUGUAGCGGUGAAAUGCGUAGAUAUAUGGAGGAACACCGGUGGCGAAAGCGGCUCUCUGGUCUGUAACUGACGCUGAGGCUCGAAAGCGUGGGGAGCGAACAGGAUUAGAUACCCUGGUAGUCCACGCCGUAAACGAUGAGUGCUAGGUGUUGGAUCCUUUCCGGGAUUCAGUGCCGCAGCUAGCGCAUUAAGCACUCCGCCUGGGGAGUACGACCGCAAGGUUGAAACUCAAAGGAAUUGACGGGGGCCCGCACAAGCGGUGGAGCAUGUGGUUUAAUUCGAAGCAACGCGAAGAACCUUACCAGGUCUUGACAUCCCGAUGCUAUUUCUAGAGAUAGAAAGUUACUUCGGUACAUCGGUGACAGGUGGUGCAUGGUUGUCGUCAGCUCGUGUCGUGAGAUGUUGGGUUAAGUCCCGCAACGAGCGCAACCCCUAUUGUUAGUUGCCAUCAUUCAGUUGGGCACUCUAGCGAGACUGCCGGUAAUAAACCGGAGGAAGGUGGGGAUGACGUCAAAUCAUCAUGCCCCUUAUGACCUGGGCUACACACGUGCUACAAUGGUUGGUACAACGAGUUGCGAGUCGGUGACGGCAAGCUAAUCUCUUAAAGCCAAUCUCAGUUCGGAUUGUAGGCUGCAACUCGCCUACAUGAAGUCGGAAUCGCUAGUAAUCGCGGAUCAGCACGCCGCGGUGAAUACGUUCCCGGGCCU